CCCCAGCUGUCAUUGGUUAUGUGUUUAUUUGACUCAGUGGCUUGGCAGGCGUAAUCAGUGGACCAGACUGAUGCUUUCUCUUCCUACUUAGCACAGAAUAUUAAUCUCCACUAGCGCAGAAGUUGCUGUAAACAUUUCAGAUUGAUUGAGGACAUUGCAGCAGCCACAGAGACGUGAAAGAGGACUGCUGGAACUGCUUCAGAAGGCAGCAAGACCCGCGGGAGAACUGUCUGAAGUGAGGGAGGAAUACUUUGCGGGUGAUUAGUGGCGGAGAUCCAGCCCAUACCUGCUGUGACUACGGCAAGACCAGAAGUCGCUGUCAGGCGGUGGCACCCUGCACCCUGUUCCCGUGAUCAGAGCACCCUUGAUUGUGAGGACCCCCCUGUCUGGGGGCUGGACGUGGCCCUCGCUGUGUGGUUGGCCCUGCUGGCCCUAGUGCCUUAAGGCAUGGAGCUCCUUGAAAGAGAAACACAAAUCACUAAAAAUGCUGAGAUAAAAUCCUGCUCCUCAGAGGCGCCUGUUUGGCACAGGGAGCGCAUGAUAACAGCUUGCUUUAGAAAGGUGACAUUUCUGCUGAAGGCUGAAUAAUAAAAAAUGCAUUUAAAAAACUCAGCCCUUGCUUGUCUUCUGAUGGUUGACUUUUGAAGUGAAGGCCACUUCUUCAGUGUGAAGGGUCCUUUUGGAGGCUGGCCCUCAACCAUGGGAACAUUAACUUUUGUCAUCAUUGACGAGGCUGAGGAGCAUUUUAAGUUAAUUGUCACAUAAUAGGGUUUUAACUGCUUUCCUCAAGGUGCAAACACCGGGUGCUCAGAAUGUGUCAAGCUUUCAUUGUCCACAACACGGAAGGGCAGAGACAAGAUGAGGAACAAGGAUGCAGGUCAUUGGUGACCAGAACACAAAUGCUUCCAUUAUUUCAUUCUUCCCCGAAGUCUGUGAUCGACUGGGGCAGGAGAUGCUCUGGGUUUUACAGAUGGAGACGCUAAGGUCCCAAGAAGGUGACCAUGCCAGUUGGCACAGCAAGCUACUAAGCUGGCACUGGGAUGGUGGUGGUUGUGGCUCUACCUCACCGAGCACAGGCAAGUACCUUUGAAGCCAGAAGGGAGGUGAAUGAUCCUAAUAGUUGAUGACAUUCUCAUCACAUUCUGAUCCACCCAUCUCCACUCUAGGGAGAUACCUGCCAGCUGGAUCGAAACACUUGUGUCAACCGUGUCAACAUCGUGCUGUACACACAUUUACACAUUCUUGCUUGCUAACUCACCUUCCCAGACGCUACGCAGGGAGGAAGAGCCCCUUCCUCUGUCAGUGCGAGCAUAUGGGUCAGCCUCAUCAUCAGUGGGAUGACAUUUGAAGCAGCCAGCUCACCUCAAAUGCAGAGAGUUUCAUAGCAAACGAGGAGCACCUUCCAUGGAUUGGACACACAGGAGCCAGCCAUGAGUUCUGAUCUCAAGCACCUUAGUCUACGAGAAGCAGACUUCAACAUUUACCUGCAUUUCCACCAGGUUCCUGAUCUUAAGUAGCUUCUAGCUUGGUGGGGCCAGAUUUAAACAUUCGUUUCCCACUUCCACUAGUUGAGAUACAUAGACAGGUAGAUAGAUAGACGGAAAGAUACAGAGGGAGAGAG
rnacentral:lncRNA from 1 species